rnacentral:rRNA from 1 species
UACGUAGGGGGCGAGCGUUGUCCGGAAUUAUUGGGCGUAAAGGGAGCGCAGGCGGUGACUUAAGUCUGAUGUGAAAGCCCACGGCUCAACCGUGGAAGGUCAUUGGAAACUGGGGAACUUGAGUGCAGAAGAGGAGAGUGGAAUUCCAUGUGUAGCGGUGAAAUGCGUAGAUAUAUGGAGGAACACCAGUGGCGAAGGCGACUCUCUGGUCUGUAACUGACGCUGAGGCUCGAAAGCGUGGGGAGCAAACAGGAUUAGA